AAUUAAAAUUUUCAUUCAUUUCUACUGUUAAAAACUGGUGUGACUGAUGGAAUAACCAGACAGUUACACAUGACGUGCCAUAUGUGCCUCAUGUUGACGUACGUUAACAAUAGAAAUGGAUUAAAAUUUUAAUA
rfam:Gossypium raimondii Chr13_contig_1351, whole genome shotgun sequence.